GAUGAACGCUGGCGGCGUGCCUAAUACAUGCAAGUCGAGCGAACGGACGAGAAGCUUGCUUCUCUGAUGUUAGCGGCGGACGGGUGAGUAACACGUGGAUAACCUACCUAUAAGACUGGGAUAACUUCGGGAAACCGGAGCUAAUACCGGUUGAUAUUUUGAACCGCAUGGUUCAACAGUGAAAGACGGUCUUGCUGUCACUUAUAGAUGGAUCCGCGCUGCAUUAGCUAGUUGGUAAGGUAACGGCUUACCAAGGCAACGAUGCAUAGCCGACCUGAGAGGGUGAUCGGCCACACUGGAACUGAGACACGGUCCAGACUCCUACGGGAGGCAGCAGUAGGGAAUCUUCCGCAAUGGGCGAAAGCCUGACGGAGCAACGCCGCGUGAGUGAUGAAGGUCUUCGGAUCGUAAAACCCUGUUAUUAGGGAAGAACAUAUGUGUAAGUAACUGUGCACAUCUUGACGGUACCUAAUCAGAAAGCCACGGCUAACUACGUG
rnacentral:rRNA from 1 species